rnacentral:rRNA from 1 species
AGAGUUUGAUUAUGGCUCAGGAUGAACGCUGGCGGCGUGCCUAACACAUGCAAGUCGAACGGGGUUAUUUAGGAAAGUUCCUUCGGGGGCUGGAAUCUUUAACCUAGUGGCGGACGGGUGAGUAACGCGUGAGCAAUCUGCCUUUAGGAGGGGGAUAACGACCGGAAACGGUCGCUAAUACCGCAUGAAGUGCCGGGUGGGCAUCCACCUGGCACCAAAGGAGCAAUCCGCCUUUAGAUGAGCUCGCGUCCCAUUAGCUAGUUGGUGAGGUAACGGCCCACCAAGGCGACGAUGGGUAGCCGGACUGAGAGGUUGAACGGCCACAUUGGGACUGAGACACGGCCCAG